GUUGAGUCUGGUUGCAUAAUGUGGAGAAGUAAGCUGAAUAAGAAUGAUAUCAAGAAGCUUCACAGCGGGUAACGCUGGGGAAAAGCAGAAAGGAUGGAGUCAUUAUGGAUUCUGAAAGAAGUAAAAACAAACACCCACCACAGUACACUUGGAAGAACACAGGAGACCCUGCAGCACAGCUCUGCUGUAACAACCCACUCAUCCCCACAAGCUUUAUCUUUUUGAGUGGAAAAUGUGCUGGCAACAGAGACAAGCUUGUGUGAGAAGUGCAGGCUAAGCCUCCAGGUAAAGUGCAAAAGUGAGGUGUAGACACAACGAACAAUGGUGAAGGUGUCAGAAAAGUUUGUGUACAAAGAAAAGUCAAGCUUCUUU